UAGGACAAUUGUCAUUCUUUUCGUUAUUGCACAUAUAGGUGUUUAGACUGCAACUUUUUUGCUUUUUUUUUUCAUUGUAGUUUCUUUGUCUCAUUUAUCUUAUUUGCUUCAGAUGCUCUCAUCCAAGGAUUCUAAUUUUGUUGGCUAUACAUACAAGAAUUUUGAAAUUGUCAACGAUUAUCAAGUUCCUGGAAUGGCUGAGCUGAAGAAGAAGAACACCAAGUCAAAGGCUCCAACCAUCAAAGCAAUAUUUGAGGAGCCUGAGGCAGCAGAAACAUCAAUAGAUGAAGGGGGCUCUUGACAAAAAUCUUAUAAUUGCAAUCUUAUAAUUUUAAUCCCUAGUACUUUUACAUGUACAAAACCCAAUUUUGGUUGUAUUACCAUGUUUUUAAUAAAGUGGCUAUAUAAGUGUAACUAGAUUC